AGAAUGGCCAGGAACAAGCGGGAGGCAGGACUGUAGAAAGAGCAAAGAAGGUUUUAUUCAAGAGAACCACACAGUUUUUAUAAUGACACAGGAACAGGUGAGAGACAGGAUUGAAGAAAGAGUAAAGAAGGUUUUAUUCAAGAGAACCACACAGUUUUUAUAGUGACACAGGAACAGGUGAGGGGCAGGACUGUAGAAAGAGCAAAGAAGGUUUUAUUCAAGAGAGCCACACAGUUUUUAUAGAGUGAUACCAUACAUUCUGUUUGAUUGGCUCAUUAACAAAAGCACUUUCCUCACACCCUGUUCUUGAGAAGAACAGAAAGAUGAAGCAGGAAAUCACCACCUGCAGAUUGUUUAUACUUAACAAGUUAUCACAUCCUUACA